AACGAAAACAUUGGUCAGCAUCCAAUGCCCCGAAAACCCAAGAUUUCCUACACAAGGUUCCUCCAUGGAGGGUGAGUCACGGCCUAAGAUCAGGCCGAAAGGCGUAGUCGAUGGACAACAGGUAAAUAUUCCUGUACUACCCCUUGUUGGUACGGGGGGAUGGAGGAGGCUAGGUUAGCCGAAAGACGAUUAUAGGUUUGAGGACACAAGGUGGCCCUGCUUUUUUAGGGUAAGGAGUGGUAGAGAAAAUGCCUCGAGCCGAGGUUCAAGUACCAAGCACUACAGCGCUGAAGUAUGAGCCCCGUGGACUAGCCAUUGCUUCUCCACGAGGCUCAUACCAGGCGCUACAGCGCUGAAGUCUGUAACCCAUGGGAUACUCCCAGGAAAAGCUCGAACAACAUUCAACAAAAGGGUACCUGUACCUGAAACCGACACAGGUGGGUAGGUAGAGAAUACCUAGGGGCACAAGAAAACUCUCUCUAAGCAACUCGGCAAAAUAGCCCCAUAACUUAUGGAAAAGGGGUGCCCCUCACAAAAGGCGGUCACAUCGACCAGGCCCGGGCGACUGUUUACCAAAAACACAGGUCUCCGCAAAGUCGUAAUACCAUGUAUGGGGGCUGACGCCUGCCCAAUGCCGGAAGGUCAAGGUAGUUAGUGAACUGAUGACAGGGAAGCCGACGACCGAAGCCCCGGUGAACGGUAGUCGUAACUAUAAUGGUCCUAAGGUAGCGAAAUUCCUUGUCAGGUAAGUUUCGACCCGCACGAAAGGCGUAACAAUCUGGGCACUGUCUCGGAGAGAGGCUCGGUGAAA
rnacentral:ncRNA from 1 species